rnacentral:lncRNA from 1 species
CUAGACUUCACGAAAGUGAAAUAAGCCACUGGUUGCCACCCAUGAAUGAAGGGGGCUCCAAUAGCUGGCUACUCAGUUUGUUUUUGGCAAAGAGCAUAGAGCACGAACCUAGCACUUCAAGCAUAGUGCACAGAAUUGUGACAGGCACCUUGGACACUCUAAACCAGGAGAAUUGAGAAUCUUAUUGGAAAGCUUUUGGGCCGAGAAGGUACAUGAUCCCUG